CCGGCGCACGGGUGAGUAACGCGUAUGCGACCUGCCCGUUGCAGGGGGAUAAUCGGGAGAAAUCCCGUCUAAUACCGCGUAACGCCGCGGGGCUGCAUGGCCCUGCGGCCAAAGGGAGCGAUUCCGGCAACGGAUGGGCACGCGUGACAUUAGCUAGUUGGCGGGGCAACGGCCCACCAAGGCGACGAUGUCUAGGGGUUCUGAGAGGAAGGUCCCCCACACUGGGACUGAGACACGGCCCAGACUCCUACGGGAGGCAGCAG
rnacentral:rRNA from 1 species